rnacentral:rRNA from 1 species
AUGGUAAAGGUGUUACUUCGCUAUAAUUAUUACAUCUUUUUUUUCAUGAACGAUAUUGUCCUUGGUAAAUGUUCACUUGCAGGUUUAGAUGCUGUAACGCCAAUUAGAGAGUCUGAUUCAAGAAAUAUUCUAAGUGUUGAAACUACUGAGAAUGAUCAUGGUAGUUCUGAUGCAUCAAGUGUGACAAAUAUUGUUGGGGAUAUGACUAUCAGAUAUGACCCGCCCAGGAGGGGCCGGGUCAUCCGUAUGGCGGUUCAUCUAAAUGAAGCCCAAGAGGAUAUUAAAGAUGGCGGUUCAUAG